AUGGCAGCUGGCUGGCUGCCGAUGGAGGGGCAGCAGGUUAACAGCGAUGAGACAGUCCUUCAUCCCUCCCUCCAUGUGGCUUUCCUUGCAUGUUUGUCUUUGUAUAUAUUGGCAAUCUCCUGGAGCAGUGACUCUCCUGACUGGACUAUCUUGGAAUUUAUAAACAACCCUCAAAAGAUGAAUUGUACUUGUGCAGACAUCUUUCUUUUCUCCAUAAACUACCUGUGCAAGUCUUGGAGAUCAGAGCAUGAGACUCUUCCUCCUGUCUGUCCCCAUCAUGGGUUCCCAUCACACCAUAGCACCA
rnacentral:lncRNA from 1 species